rnacentral:lncRNA from 1 species
GUUCCAUUCAACUAGCCAAUCACAACUUGCAUUUCCUUAAAUGGAAAAGUUUGUGCAGGCAACACCCAAGAGUCAAGAAAGAUGCCAGUUUUAGUGUCUUUUUGCUGCAAGUCAUCAAACAUGGAGCGGCUUCACAUUCUUCUUGUCCUUCUUUUAGGUAAUACUUUAGUACUUUUAAUAAACAAUAUAUUAUACUGAUUCUAUUUGUCAAUCUACAUUUACUUCUGUACUCAACAGCUACAAGCAUUUAGUAUGAAAAGAAACACUGCCCACAUUUGCUAUUGUGUUUGUAUUUCAGGACAUCGUUGGAUUUUUGGCUCAGUGGUGAAUGUGACAGUGAGAUCAGGAGAAAACAUUACUCUGUACUGUGACUGUAAAAUAUUGACUGAUGAAAUUAUUAUGUGGUACAGAAACUGUACACAUGAAAAUCAGCCUCCUCUUGUUCUAGAAAAAGAAAAGGAUCCGUUCAAACCCACCAGUGGCCGUGCCACUCUAGUGAAUUUUCUACCUCGCUUCCAUUUUGUAGAAAACCAGUCCGCUAGUUCCUAUGAUCUGCUGAUCAUGAAUAUUUCUGAUUCUGAUGAGGGCCUCUAUUACUGUGGAACUGAGCAGUCACAAUCAGUGGGUGGAAAUAAACACAAAUAUAUUUAUGGAUAUAGCAAUGCUACAACACGGAUCCGAUUCAACUCCAGUGACCAAAUUUCAACUGAUCACCCAACUCUACAAGAGUGCAGCAUAUGUUGGAAGCUGCUGUUCGUCCUGUGUCCAACUUUUGCUGUUCUGUCCUCUCUUCUUGUCUCCCUUCUUGUUCAUCGCCUCUGCCAGAAAACAGGUAAAUACUAAAUGAGGUAGCUUUAUUCACUGAAUUCUUCACUUAAUUCCAUGAUUUAGUUUUAUGAUUGGUUCAAUAUGCAAUAUCAAUUUUUUUCUGAAGUCUAAAAGGACUUUUAAUUACACAAUAAAGCUUCACACAUAAUUGCUACUAAAGUCAUUUGUAAUGUUAGAUGUUAUUGUUUAAUAAUGUUGUAUUCCUUUUUGUGGCUAAAAGAUGAUCAGCAGAGAUUUGAAACUAGUGGCAGAACAAGAAGGAAUCAGGUAAAUUACAUCAGUAUCAAAUUUGAUUUUUUUUUAUUUAUAUUGUUUUAGAUUGUUUUUUUAGUCACUUUCAUAAUUCAUUACACCUGAAUUUUUCUUUCCCUAAAAAAACCAAAAUGUAUAAUGUCUGCAGUGAGUUAUAUGUAUAUGCAAUAUAUGCAGACUUUGUAUCCCUGAUAAUUACUCAUCAUAAACAGCAUCCUAUGUAUUUUCUGCAGCAACAAUCCAAAAUAAUAAUUUGACAUUAUAUUAACUUCUGUAUGUACUUACCUAUACAUCAUACCCUGUGUAGACAUUUAAAAAAUCUCCCCUGGUAUAUUGGCAUGAAAUUAGACUGUGAGCAACAAAAUCCAGCAAUGAUACAUAAAUAUGUAUACACACACAUAAGAUGUGAACUACAGUCAAUAAUUUUAGGUGGUUAAGAUUACGUUAAAGCUAACUGCUAGAAAUGGUAGCCAAAUACUCACUGAGGAAGGAGCGAGGUGAUUAUUAAGCAUAACAGAAAAGUACAGCUGUAUAUCGUCAGCAUAGCAAUGAUAAGAAAAGACAAGUGGUCUAAGGAUUGAGCCUUGAGGGACCACAUCUAUAAAGGGUGGUUUAUAUUAAUAACAUACAGCUAUUUAUUUAAAUUUGGUAAUGUCUGUCAAAUCAAUAUGAAGAGCAUUUGAGAGCAGUGUCAGAGAUGCCAACCCAGUUUCAUAAUCUGUCAAUCAAAAUAGCAUCACUAUUGGUGAAAAACUGUGCACCUAAGUCAAAUCCAAGCUCAAAAGAAUAUUGUGAGUAAUUUUUAGUAAUAUUGUUUCAGUGUUUUCAGUACCCAGAUUGGAAUUUAUCAUAUAUUGUUUUCCGUUUUAUUGAGUGAUAGAAGAGUGAUCUCAAGAUUUUUUUAAAUGAUGGGAUCUAGGGAGGGUUUUGUUAUUAAAAGGGAAAACGCUGGUUGUUACAAAUGUGAGGCUUCACCUUCGUAAUUCUGACCAGAAAAAUGUGUGUGAGUGCUAAGCAUCUGAUUAUAACUGUAAACAACAAAUGUCCCCUCACAGGAUGAAGAUGUGUUUUAUGCUACAAUGGAAACCCGUCAAGCAGCACACAGAUCAAAGAAGAUAACCGAUAGUUCUGACAUCUGCACCUAUUCUGCUAUCAACACCUCUGGCAUAUAGAUUUAACAAUAUUUCAUUUUGUGAAUUUGUCAGCAUUCUUAGCUUUACCACAAGAAUUGACAGGCGCUGGCCUUUUGGCCUUAUGGAGGAAUUACCUCACUGAAAGAUGAAGCAACUUGAUUAUGUGCACAUAACAUAAUUAGUAACAUUGCAAUAGGCCUGUGCUGCUGGAGUGUUUCUUCUUAACUAAACUUUUUUCACUCUCUGUGUUUGUACAACACUUUGCAUUUAGUCAUUUGUUAUUAUUAAUCCCUGGCUCUCUUACAGUGUGUCUUUUUUCCUGUCUUCCUCACCUUGUAUCCUACUGGUUGUGCCAGAUUGUUCCCCCCCACCCCAAACCUGGUUCUGCUUGAGCUUUUUCCCUAUUAGGGGAAUUUUGCCUUCCUACAUUAGUGCUUGCUCAUAGAAAGUCAUCUGAUUUUUUUUGUGUUUUCUCUGCAUUAUAGAAGUGUCUUUACCUUACAAUGUAAAGUGCCUCGGUUUGUUUGGCACCAUGUAAAUAAAUUUGAAUUGAAUACUAAAAUGUGAUUUUAUUUGUGAUGUGACACUGUUUGCAGUGUCUGUUGUUUUGUGGUAUAAUUAGUAGUACAAGUAAUAAACAUGAAAAUGAACAUAUAC